CAGACUUGGUGGGCGGCCUCCGUGUGCCAAAAAUAGGCCACGGGCACAGCCGCACCCAAAAAUCAGCCCCCCAAGGUCAGGGUCCCAAGACCCCCCAGCGGAAAAAUGGCCAAAAAAUGGGUGGGCUAUAGCCUAUGUGGGGGGCGUGGGCGAAGUUCGUCCGCGGGACUCGGAAUGGCCCCAGACUUGGCGGGCGGCCUCCGUGUGCCAAAAAUAGGCCACAGGCACAGCCGCGCCCAAAAAUCAGCCCCCGAAGGUCGGGGUCCCAAGACCCCCCAGCGGAAAAAUGGCCGAAAAACGGGUGGGCUAUAGCCUUGGUGGGGGGCGUGGGCGAAGUUCGUCCGCGGGACUCGGAAUGGCCCCAGCCUUGGCGGGCGGCCUCCGUGUGCCAAAAAUAGGCCACGGGCACAGCCGCGCCCAAAAAUCAGCCCCCGAAGGUCGGGGUCCCAAGGCCCCCCAGCGGAAAAAUGGCCAAAAAAUGGGUGGGCUAUAGCCUUGGUGGGGGGCGUGGGCGAAGUUCGUCCGCUGGACUCGGAAUGGCCCCAGACUUGGUGGGCGGCCUCCGUGUGCCAAAAAUAGGCCACGGGCACAGCCGCACCCAAAAAUCAGCCCCCCAAGGUCAGGGUCCCAAGACCCCCCAGCGGAAAAAUGGCCAAAAAAUGGGUGGGCUAUAGCCUAUGUGGGGGGCGUGGGCGAAGUUCGUCCGCGGGACUCGGAAUGGCCCCAGACUUGGCGGGCGGCCUCCGUGUGCCAAAAAUAGGCCACAGGCACAGCCGCGCCAAAAAAUCAGCCCCCGAAGGUCGGGGUCCUAAGACCCCCCAGCGGAAAAAUGGCCAAAAAACGGGUGGGCUAUAGCCUUGGUGGGGGGCGUGGGCGAGGUUCGUCCGCCGGACUCGGAAUGGCCCCAGCCUUGGCGGCCGGCCUCCGUGUGCCAAAAAUAGGCCACGGGCACAGCCGCGCCCAAAAAUCAGCCCCCGAAGGUCGGGGUCCCAAGACCCCCCAGCGGAAAAAUGGCCAAAAACCGGAUGGGCUAUAGCCUUGGUGGGGGGCGUGGACGAAGUUCGUCCGCGGGACUCGGAAUGGCCCCAAACUUGGCGGGCGGCCUCCGUGUGCCAAAAAUAAGCCACGGGCACAGCCGCGCCCAAAAAUCAGCCCCCGAAGGUCGGGGUCCCAAGACCCCCCAGCGGAAAAAUGGCCAAAAAACGGGGGGGCUAUAGCCUAUGUGGGGGACGUGGCCGAAGUUCGUCCGCGGGACUCGGAAUGGCCCCAGACUUGGCGGGCGGCCUCCGUGUGCUAAAAAUAGGCCACGGGCACAGCCGCGCCCAAAAAUAAGCCCCCGAAGGUCGGGGUCCCAAGACCCCCCAGCAGAAAAAUGGCCAAAAAACGGGUGGGCUAUAGCCUAUGGGGGGGGCGUGGGCGAAGUUCGUCCGCGGGACUCGGAAUGCCCCAGACUUGGCGGGCGGCCUUCGUGUGCCAAAAUAGGCCACGGGCACAGCCGCGCCCAAAAUCAGCCCCCGAAGGUCGGGGUCCCAAGACCCCCCAGCGGAAAAAUGGCCAAAAACCGGAUGGGCUAUAGCCUUGGUGGGGGGCGUGGACGAAGUUCGUCCGCGGGACUCGGAAUGGCCCCAAACUUGGCGGGCGGCCUCCGUGUGCCAAAAAUAAGGAAGGGGCCAGCCGCGCCCAAAAUCAGCCCCCGAAGGUCGGGGUCCCAAGACCCCCCUUUGGAAAAAUGGCCAAAAAACGGGGGGGCUAUAGCCUAUGUGGGGGACGUGGCCGAAGUUCGUCCGCGGGACUCGGAAUGGCCCCAGACUUGGCGGGCGGCCUCCGUGUGCCAAAAAUAAGCCACGGGCACAGCCGCGCCCAAAAAUCAGCCCCCGAAGGUUGGGGUCCCAAGACCCCCCAGCGGAAAAGUGUCCAAAAAACGGGUGGGCUAUAGCCUUGGUGGGGGGCGUGGGCGAAGUUCGUCCGCCGGACUCGGAAUGGCCCCAGACAUGGCGGCCGGCCUCCGUGUGCCAAAAAUAGGCCACGGGCACAGACGCACCCAAAAAUCAGCCCCCGAAGGUGGGGUCCCAAGACCCCCCAGCGGAAAAAUGACGAAAAACGGGUGGGCUAUAGCCUUGGUGGGGGGCGUGGGCGAAGUUCGUCCGCGGGACUCGGAAUGGCCCCAGCCUUGGCGGGCGGCCUCCGUGUGCCAAAAAUAGGCCACGGGCACAGCCGCGCCCAAAAAUCAUCCCCCGAAGGUCGGGGUCCCAAGGCCCCCCAGCGGAAAAAUGGCCAAAAAAUGGGUGGGCUAUAGCCUUGGUGGGGGGCGUGGGCGAAGUUCGUCCGCUGGACUCGGAAUGGCCCCAGACUUGGUGGGCGGCCUCCGUGUGCCAAAAAUAAGCCACGGGCACAACCGCACCCAAAAAUCAGCCCCCCAAGGUCAGGGUCCCAAAAACCCCCCAGCGGAAAAAUGGCCAAAAAAAUGGGUGGGCUAUAGCUUAUGUGGGGGGGGUGGGCGAAGUUCGUCCGCGGGACUCGGAAUGGCCCCAGACUGGGCGGGCGGCCUCCGUGUGCCAAAAAUAGGCCACGGGCACAGCCGCGCCCAAAAAUCAGCCCCCGAAGGUCGGGGUCCUAAGACCCCCCAGCGGAAAAAUGGCCAAAAAACGGGUGGGCUAUAGCCUUGGUGGGGGGCGUGGGCGAAGUUCGUCCGCCGGACUCGGAAUGGCCCCAGCCUUGGCGGCCGGCCUCCGUGUGCCAAAAAUAGGCCACGGGCACAGCCGCGCCCAAAAAUCAGCCCCCGAAGGUCGGGGUCCCAAUAUCCCCCAGCGGAAAAAUGGCCAAAAAACGGAUGGGCUAUAGCCUUGGUGGGGGGCGUGGGCGAAGUUCGUCCGCGGGACUCGGAAUGGCCACAGACUUGGCGGGCGGCCUCCGUGUGCCAAAAAUAAGCCACGGGCACAGCCGCGCCCAAAAAUCAGCCCCCGAAGGUCGGGGUCCCAAGACCCCCCAGCGGAAAAAUGGCCAAAAAACGGGUGGGCUAUAGCCUAUGUGGGGGGCGUGGGCGAAGUUCGUCCGCGGGACUCGGAAUGGCCCCAGACUUGGCGGGCGGCCUCCGUGUGCUAAAAAUAGGCCACGGGCACAGCCGCGCCCAAAAAUAAGCCCCCGAAGGUUGGGGUCCCAAGACCCCCCAGCGGAAAAAUGGGCAAAAAACGGGUGGGCUAUAGCCUAUGGGGGGGGCGUGGGCGAAGUUCGUCCGCGGGACUCGGAAUGGCCCCAGACUUGGCGGGCGGCCUUCGUGUGCCAAAAAUAGGCCACGGGCACAGCCGCGCCCAAAAAUCAGCCCCCGAAGGUUGGGGUCCCAAGACCCCCCAGCGGAAAAAUGGGCAAAAAACGGGUGGGCUAUAGCCUUGGUGGGGGGCGUGGGCGAAGUUCGUCCGCGGGACUCGGAAUGGCCCCAGACUUGGUGGGCGGCCUCCGUGUGGCAAAAAUAGGCCACGGGCACAGCCGCGCCCAAAAAUCAGCCCCUCAAGGUCGGGGUCCCAUGACCCCCCAGCGGAAAAAUGGCCAAAAAACGGGUGGGCUAUAGCCUAUGUGGGGGGCGUGGGCGAAGUUCGUCCGCGGGUCUCGGAAUGGCCCCAGACUUGGCGGGCGGCCUCCGUGUGCCAAAAAUAGGCCACGGGCACAGCCGCGCCCAAAAAUAAGCCCCCGAAGGUCGGGGUCCCAAGACCCCCCAGCGGAAAAAUGGCCAAAAAACGGGUGGGCUAUAGCCUAUGUGGGGGGCGUGGGCGAAUUUCGUCCGCGGGACUCGGAAUGGCCCCAGACUUGGCGGGCGGCCUCCGUGUGCUAAAAAUAGGCCACGGGCACAGCCGCGCCCAAAAAUAAGCCCCCGAAGGUUGGGGUCCCAAGACCCCCCAGCGGAAAAAUGGGCAAAAAACGGGUGGGCUAUAGCCUAUGGGGGGGGCGUGGGCGAAGUUCGUCCGCGGGACUCGGAAUGGCCCCAGACUUGGCGGGCGGCCUUCGUGUGCCAAAAAUAGGCCACGGGCACAGCCGCGCCCAAAAAUCAGCCCCCGAAGGUUGGGGUCCCAAGACCCCCCAGCGGAAAAAUGGCCAAAAAACGGGUGGGCUUUAUCCUUGGUGGGGGGCGUGGGCGAAGUUCGUCCGCCGGACUCGGAAUGGCCCCAGACUUGGCGGCCGGCCUCCGUCUGCCAAAAAUAGGCCACGGGCACAGCCGCGCCCAAAAAUCAGCCCCCGAAGGUCGGGGUCCCAAGACCCCCCAGCGGAAAAAUGGCCAAAAAAUGGGUGGGCUAUAGCCUUGGUCGGGGGCGUGGGCGAAGUUCGUCCGCUGGACUCGAAAUGGCCCCAGACUUGGCGGACGGCCUCCGUGUGCCAAAAAUAGGCCACGGGCACAGCCGCGCCCAAAAAUAAGCCCCCGAAGGUCGGGGUCCCAAGACCCCCCAGCGGAAAAAUGGCCAAAAAACGGGUGGGCUAUAGCCUAUGUGGGGGGCGUGGGCGAAGUUCGUCCGCGGGACUCGGAAUGGCCCCAGACUUGGCGGGCGGCCUCCGUGUGCCAAAAAUAGGCCACGGGCACAGCCGCGCCCAAAAAUCAGCCCCCGAAGGUCGGGGUCUAUGACCCCCCAGCGGAAAAAUGGCCAAAAAACGGGUGGGCUAUAGCCUUGGUGGGGGGCGUGGGCGAAGUUCGUUCGCCGGACUCGGAAUGGCCCCAGCCUUGGCGGCCGGCCUCCGUGUGCCAAAAAUAGGCCACGGGCACAGCUGCGCCCAAAAAUCAGCCCCCGAAGGUCGGGGUCCCAAGACCCCCCAGCGGAAAAAUGGCCAAAAAACGGAUGGGCUAUAGCCUUGGUGGGGGGCGUGGGCGAAGUUCGUCCGCGGGACUCGGAAUGGCACCAGACUUGGCGGGCGGCCUCCGUGUGCCAAAAAUAG
rnacentral:lncRNA from 1 species